UAAUAGUUUUUCCAAUAAGAUUGAAAUUAUGAUCGAAUAGUUAUUUUUUUGUUUUCCAAAGUACUCUAUGUUCAGUGGUGUGGUCGAUUCAAUGGAGUUGCACUCUCAUGGGGGCUCUCUGUUGUAGACAGGUUGUGGUAGUGGUCAUGGUUGACGCUCGAGCAUGGACAGACUACGAAGGGGCCGCGAAGAAAGGAUUUGUGAAGAGAUCUGGCAGGAGCAACUAGCUUUCAUCCAACAACAACAAAAGUACAUGGUUGCUUACACCUCAUCGGGGCAAUAAGCACUUCGGGAUCGAGGGUCAUGGGUCACAACAUGUAUCAUACUCCACCACCACGGAUACCAGCACCCAGCACCUAGAGCUUCUGGACAGCCCCAAGCUUCUGGAGAGGAGAUUUCAAACUAGAUAGAAGACUUCGUAAACAACUUCUUCACUUCUGACUCUAGUGGCCACAACUCAAACGAUCCUCCAUAUGUAAUGUAAUAUAUGUAUUUGCCUUCAUGAGUCUUGAAUGUUUUGGUAUGGGCUGGAUUGAUGAGAUUUUGGAUCAAAAUGUCCUAAACCCGGUCAAACACUUGUUUACUCAACCUUAGCCGGCUGAAUUAAAAUGUCCUAUAAAAUAUAUUUGCCUGGUGAAUUCUAUUCCAUCACAUGGUAGUGAUAGCACACAAGCAUUCAAUUAUCUAACUUAAUCAAAUGAUGAAUAAUGAUCACCCAUUAGUAUAGUAGUCAACCAUACCACAUUUGAUUAUUGCCAAUAGGAUACACUAACAGUAACAGUAACAGGGUUCCACAAUAGCAGUAUAACAACAAAACGAAAGGUCGACGAUUGAAGGAAAG